UGGGGAAUAUUGGACAAUGGGGGGAACCCUGAUCCAGCCAUGCCGCGUGUGUGAAGAAGGCCUUAUGGUUGUAAAGCACUUUAAGCGAGGAGGAGGGUACUGGUAUUAAUACUACCAGGUACUGGACGUUACUCGCAGAAUAAGCACCGGCUAACUCUGUGCCAGCAGCCGCGGUAAUACAGAGGGUGCGAGCGUUAAUCGGAUUUACUGGGCGUAAAGCGUGCGUAGGCGGCUAAUUGAGUCGGAUGUGAAAUCCCCGAGCUUAACUUGGGAAUUGCAUUCGAUACUGGUUAGCUAGAGUGUGGGAGAGGAUGGUAGAAUUCCAGGUGUAGCGGUGAAAUGCGUAGAGAUCUGGAGGAAUACCGAUGGCGAAGGCAGCCAUCUGGCCUAACACUGACGCUGAGGUACGAAAGCAUGGGUGCAAACAGG
rnacentral:rRNA from 1 species